AACGUAGGUUCCGAGCGUUAUCCGGAUUUACUGGGCGUAAAGCGCGUUCAGGCGGUUUGGCAAGUCGGGCAUGAAAUCUCUCGGCUCAACCGGGAGAGGUUGUCCGAUACUGCUGGACUUGAGGGCAGUAGAGGGUGGUGGAAUUCCGGGUGUAGUGGUGAAAUGCGUAGAUAUCCGGAGGAACACCAGUGGCGAAAGCGGCCACCUGGACUGCACCUGACGCUGACACGCGAAAGCUAGGGGAGCAAACAGG
rnacentral:rRNA from 1 species